rnacentral:lncRNA from 10 species
AAGAAAAAUCUGUUCAGUGGGGAGCGACAAGGAAGGAGCUUUCAGCCCGACUGGGGUCGCAGGGAAGAAUUCAAGAUGGCGUGUUUAGGAGCUCUAGCUCCUUGACAAAUUAGUAAAAUGUUAGUCUUAGGAGAAGAACGAAAAGGCUCUCCUAGGCUAAGAAACAGCAUACACAGUGAGAAACCUCAGAAGAAAUAAAAUUCAAGGAAGAUAGCAACAACGAAAACAUCAGAAGGAACACUAAAGUAGUCAAAUCAGCCUAGCAGAAACAAAGUACGUUAACCAAUGGAAAACUGACGGAGAGAAAUAAACUGUUUUUGCACAGCUAAAUGGAAAUGACUUUUGAAUUAUCUGCUUUGGAAGAUUAUCCAUGACACUGUUCUGCCCUGCUCUGCUCUAACAACAUUUUUCUGUCCUCCGAAGGCCUAGAAGCAAUGACAAGCAGAAG